ACUGUCUAACAACCAUCAAAUU
rnacentral:miRNA from 1 species